GAGCACGUAGGUGGGUUUGUAAGUCAGACGUGAAAGCCUUCUGUUCAACGGAAGAAUUGCAUCUGAAACUACAAACCUUGAGUGUAGGAGGGGAGAAUGGAACUUCUGGUGGAGCGGUGAAAUGCGUAGAUAUCAGAAGGAACGCCGGCGGCGAAAGCGAUUCUCUGGCCUAUUACUGACACUCAGUGUGCGAAAGCUAGGGGAGCAAACGGGAUUAGAUACCCCGGUAGUCCUAGCCGUAAACGAUGGGCACUAAGUAGAGGGAAUUACCGAUGUUCUCUCUGCCGUAGCUAACGCAUUAAGUGCCCCGCCUGGGGAGUACGGCCGCAAGGCUAAAACUCAAAAGAAUUGACGGGGGCUCGCACAAGCGGUGGAGCAUGUGGCUUAAUUCGAUGCAACGCGAAAAACCUUACCGGGGCUUGACAUGGUAGAAGUAGAAACCCGAAAGGGUAACGAACGGUAUCCAGUCCGUGACUAUCACAGGUGUUGCAUGGCUGUCGUCAGCUCGUGUCGUGAGACGUUGGGUUAAGUCCCCUAACGAGCGAAACCCUUGUUUUUAGUUGCCAGCGGGUUGUGCCGGGCACUCUAGAAAGACUGCCGUCGUCAAGACGGAGGAAGGUGGGGAUGGCGUCAAGUCAUCAUGGCCCUUAUGCCCCGGGCUGCACACGUGCUACAAUGGCCGGUACAAACGGAAGCGAAGCCGAGAGGUGAAGCGAAUCC
rnacentral:rRNA from 1 species